UACGAAGGGGGCGAGCGUUGUUCGGAUUUACUGGGCGUAAAGGGCGCGCAGGCGGCUUUGUUUGUCAGGCGUGAAAGCCCCGGGCUUAACCUGGGAACUGCGUUUGAUACGGGCAGGCUAGAGUUCGGUAGGGGAGACUGGAAUUCCUGGUGUAGCGGUGAAAUGCGCAGAUAUCAGGAGGAACACCGGUGGCGAAGGCGGGUCUCUGGGCCGAUACUGACGCUGAGGAGCGAAAGCGUGGGGAGCGAACAGG
rnacentral:rRNA from 1 species